rnacentral:rRNA from 1 species
GUGCCAGCAGCCGCGGUAAUACGGAGGGUGCAAGCGUUAAUCGGAAUUACUGGGCGUAAAGCGCACGCAGGCGGUCUGUCAAGUCGGAUGUGAAAUCCCCGGGCUCAACCUGGGAACUGCAUUCGAAACUGGCAGGCUAGAGUCUUGUAGAGGGGGGUAGAAUUCCAGGUGUAGCGGUGAAAUGCGUAGAGAUCUGGAGGAAUACCGGUGGCGAAGGCGGCCCCCUGGACAGAUACUGACACUCAGAUGCGAAAGCGUGGGGAGCAAACAGGAUUAGAUACC